rnacentral:rRNA from 1 species
CGGUAAUUCCAGCUCCAGUGGUGUAUGCUAACAUUGUUGCAGUUAAAAAGCUCGUAGUCUGAUUUUUAUGAGAAUUCGUUUUAUGUGAUCUUAAUGAACUACAAUAAAAUUUGUUUAAUCUUUUUUUCACUUGGUUGUAGUUGGAAUUCGUUUUCUGACUGUUUAUAAAGUGUGUAUUUACUUUGAGAAAAUUAGAGUGUUCUAAGCAGUCAUAUGGCAUUAUCCUAAAGCAUGGAAUGAUAAGGUAUGACAUCACUUAAAUUCUAAAGGUUUGAGAAGUUGAUGUAAUGAUUUAUAGAGUCUGUCGGUGGUAUUCGUAUUUUGUCGCUAGAAGUGAAAUUCUGGGAUCGACCAAAGACUACCAAAUGCGUACGCAUUUGCCUAGAAUUUUCUCCUUGAUCAAGAACGUAAGUUGAGGGAUCGAAGACGAUCAGAUACCGUCGUAGUCUCAACUGUAAACUAUAUCAGCUAGGGGUUGACAAUUGCUUGAUUGGCUUUGUCAGAACCUUAAGAGAAAUCAAAGGAUUUGGGUUCCGGGGGUAGUAUGGUCGCAAGACUGAAACUUAAAGGAAUUGACGGAAGGGCACCACAAGAUGUGGAUCCUGUGGCUUAAUUUGACUCAACACUGAAAAAUUUACCAGGUCCAGGCAUAGUUAAGAUUGACAGAUUGAUAGUUCUUUCUUGAUUGUAUGGGGGGUGGUGCAUGGCCGUUCCUAGUUGGUGGAGUGAUUUGUCUGGUUAAUUCCGUUAACGAACGAGACUACUCUCUGCUAAAUAAUAUAAUCAUUUAGAUAUGAUCUUAGCUUCUCAGAGGGAUUUGCUUUUCAUAAAUUGCUGGAAGACGGUAGCAAUAACAGGUCUGUGAUGCCCUUAGAUGUUCAGGGCAGCGCACGGGCUACAAUAGGACAGUAAUUGAGCUUGUUCAACUUAGCUCGAAAAGGGCUGUGAAAUCUUGAAAUUCUUCUUUAUUUGGGAUCGCGAUUUGAAAUUUUUACGUGUAAACCAGGAAUACCUAGUAAGUUCAUGUCAUCAACGUGCUCUGAAUACGUCCCUGCCCUUUGUACACACCGCCCCGUCGCUCCUACCGAUUGGUUGCGUUGGUGAGCAUAUUGGAGUAAUACCUAUCUUCUUGAACAGAUGAUAUUGUUUUUUAAAAUUAGCUAACUAGAUUAUCUAGAGGAGAGGAGAAGUCUGUAUACAGAGG